rnacentral:rRNA from 1 species
CCUACGGGAGGCAGCAGUGGGGAAUCUUGCGCAAUGGGCGAAAGCCUGACGCAGCAACGCCGCGUGCGGGAAGAAGGCUUUCGGGCUGUAAACCGCUUUCAGCAGGAACGAAAAUGACGGUACCUGCAGAAGAAGGAGCGGCCAACUAUGUGCCAGCAGCCGCGGUGAUACAUAGGCUUCAAGCGUUGUCCGGAUUUAUUGGGCGUAAAGAGUUCGUAGGCGGUCGAGUAAGUCGGGUGUGAAAAUUCUGGGCUCAACCCAGAGACGCCACCCGAUACUGCUUGACUUGAGUUCGAUAGGGGAGUGGGGAAUUCCUAGUGUAGCGGUGAAAUGCGCAGAUAUUAGGAGGAACACCGGUGGCGAAGGCGCCACUCUGGAUCGAUACUGACGCUGAGGAACGAAAGCAUGGGUAGCAAACAGGAUUAGAUACCCUGGUAGUCCAUGCCGUAAACGGUGGGCACUAGGUGUGGGUUUCUAUUAACGAAAUCCGCGCCGUCGCUAACGCAUUAAGUGCCCCGCCUGGGGAGUACGGUCGCAAGACUAAAACUCAAAGUGAUGACGNGNGAGAGNGCGAGACGACGAGAGGAG